rnacentral:rRNA from 1 species
GACGAACGCUGGCGGCGUGCUUAACACAUGCAAGUCGAACGGAAAGGCCCUGCUUUUGUGGGGUGCUCGAGUGGCGAACGGGUGAGUAACACGUGAGUAACCUGCCCUUGACUUUGGGAUAACUUCAGGAAACUGGGGCUAAUAACGGAUAGGAGCUCCUGUUGCAUGGUGGGGGUUGGAAAGUUUCGGCGGUUGGGGAUGGACUCGCGGCUUAUCAGCUUGUUGGUGGGGUAGUGGCUUACCAAGGCUUUGACGGGUAGCCGGCCUGAGAGGGUGACCGGCCACAUUGGGACUGAGAUACGGCCCAGACUCCUACGGGAGGCAGCAGUGGAGAAUAUUGCACAAUGGGCGGAAGCCUGAUGCAGCAACGCCGCGUGCGGGAUGACGGCCUUCGGGUUGUAAACCGCUUUCGCCUGUGACGAAGCGUGAGUGACGGUAAUGGGUAAAGAAGCACCGGCUAACUACGUG